GGGGAUGAUCGGUUUCGACGAUGUGAGUCGCGACAGGGGAAGCGGGCCAAGGAUGCAGAGUUAUCUUGUAAACGCCCUCUGCAAACCAAUAAGUGCCGAAAACAAGCGCACUGACUUCGCUCUCGCUGCCUAAUUGUAGCUAGACGGUCCGUUAGCCCUGCGAUGCUAUCGCGUGGGAAUCUAACGUCAUUUAGAUAGCCACUGCUGAGUACCUGCGUCACAGGGGUGCUCGGGACUUCCACUGUGACUGUGCCCGGAGGUAUCCACGAGUCACUUGUUCGAGUGUUGACUCUUGGGGCAGAGAAACCUCAAUUCGAAAUGCGCCCGGAGAAGACCUGGCAACACCACAUCGGACGGGGGUUCAAUUCCCCCCAUCUCCACCU
rnacentral:tmRNA from 1 species